rnacentral:rRNA from 1 species
UACGUAGGGUCCGAGCGUUGUCCGGAAUUAUUGGGCGUAAAGGGCUCGUAGGCGGUUUGUCGCGUCGGGAGUGAAAACGCCGGGCUUAACCCGGUGCUUGCUUUCGAUACGGGCAGACUGGAGGUAUGCAGGGGAGAACGGAAUUCCUGGUGUAGCGGUGAAAUGCGCAGAUAUCAGGAGAAACACCGGUGGCGAAGGCGGUUCUCUGGGCAUGACCUGACGCUGAGGAGCGAAAGUGUGGGGAGCGAACAGG